GUAGGCGCAGCGAAAGCGAGUCUGAAUAGGGCGUUUAGUUAGAGGGGGUAGACGCGAAACCCUGUGAUCUACCCAUGACCAGGUUGAAGUGACGGUAACACGUCAUGGAGGACCGAACCAGUUGACGUUGAAAAGUCUUUGGAUGAGUUGUGGGUAGGGGUGAAAGGCCAAUCAAACUGGGAAAUAGCUCGUACUCUCCGAAAU
rnacentral:rRNA from 1 species